UACGUAGGGUGCAAGCGUUAUCCGGAAUUAUUGGGUUUAAAGGGCGUGCAGGCGGGCUUGUAAGUCAGCGGUGAAAGUUUAUGGCUUAACCAUAAAAUUGCCAUUGAUACUGCUAGUCUUGAGAAGAAUCGGCGUGGAUGGAAUGUGUGGUGUAGCGGUGAAAUGCGUAGAUAUCACACAGAACACCGAUAGUGAAGACAGUUCACGAGGUUUUUCUGACGCUCAGGCGCGAAAGCGUGGGGAGCAAACAGG
rnacentral:rRNA from 1 species